CUUUAGGGUUAACGCCCAGAAGAGCCGCAGUGAAUAGGCCCAAGCGACUGUUUAUCAAAAACACAGGUCUCUGCUAAACCGUAAGGUGAUGUAUAGGGGCUGACGCCUGCCCGGUGCUGGAAGGUUAAGAGGAGUGGUUAGCUUCUGCGAAGCUACGAAUCGAAGCCCCAGUAAACGGCGGCCGUAACUAUAACGGUCCUAAGGUAGCGAAAUUCCUUGUCGGGUAAGUUCCGACCCGCACGAAAGGCGUAACGAUUUGGGCACUGUCUCAACGAGAGACUCGGUGAAAUCAUAGUACCUGUGAAGAUGCAGGUUACCCGCGACAGGACGGAAAGACCCCGUGGAGCUUUACUGUAGCCUGAUAUUGAAAUUCGGCACAGCUUGUAC
rnacentral:rRNA from 1 species